UUCACUUGUGGUUUUCCACGUGGUUCGCACUGCUUCCAUUAUUGAGAAAACGGUUUGGGAAGCUGUGUCUGCCACUUCUCAGGAUUUUCUGCCACCACCUGCUGGCAAAAAAAAUCAGUAACGCAGGUGGAGCCAUGUAGGACUUCUCAGAGGUAAGCCUUCAACGUAUGGGGACCCCUAAACUCGUGAGCCGAGCACGCAAGACAAAUGUCCGUGGCACAAAGAUCAAGGACGACUUCUCAGAGAUCUCGAUUGGGUUGGCUUUUUUGAACCCAUCUGCAUAGCCUUUUGUUUUUUAGAUAGUCUACUAAGUAGGUAAACCUUAGGAGGAAUCGGUCAAAGGAAACAGCAACUGUCAAGUUGCUGUUCGGCAAAAAUCUGUCAAGUUCUUGUUCGGCAACUCGGUGACUGGUUUGAUCUACUUCUCAGAUGUAGAGGUAAAUGGACUGCUCUUUUGAAAUGAUAAAAUAAAAAACAUGAAGUUUGUCAAA